rnacentral:tRNA from 1 species
GGGCUUGUAGCUCAACUGUAGAGCAGCCGACAGUUUCAAUCGUAAACUGUUGAGUAUUUUGUGGGUUCGAGUCCCACCAAGCCCU